CAUUUGCCAGAGGCUUUUUCU
rnacentral:piRNA from 1 species